rnacentral:rRNA from 1 species
UGCCAGCCGCCGCGGUAAUACGGAGGGUGCAAGCGUUAAUCGGAAUUACUGGGCGUAAAGCGCGCGUAGGUGGUCUGUUAAGUCAGCUGUGAAAGCCCCGGGCUUAACCUGGGAACUGCAGUUGAUACUGGCAGGCUAGAGUACGAGAGAGGAAAGUGGAAUUCCGAGUGUAGGGGUGAAAUCCGUAGAUAUUCGGAGGAACACCAGUGGCGAAGGCGGCUUUCUGGACCGAUACUGACGCUGAGACGCGAAAGCGUGGGGAGCAAACAGGAUUAGAUA